rnacentral:lncRNA from 1 species
GGGGGAGAGGCAGAGCUCUGAAGAAUGCAAGGUUGGACGGAGAGCAUCGGCACACCUGUGACGGGAAAAUCAGACAGAUGGGCCUGGGACUGCCCUGGAGCUCUGGGGCACCACCCCCUUCCAGGGAACGGGUCAAGCCUCAAGCCUGGUCUAUUGGGCAGCACGCCAUAGCCUAUGCCUUGGUCCUGUCAAGACCCAUCUAGAAGCUGCUGGCCUUGCUGGGCUCUUCUCCUUCCUAUUCACUGUCCCCUGUGUGAUCUGAUCCUCGCAGACCCACGUCCUCCUAACACAGCUACAGCUGGCCACCACAGGUCUAAGAACAAGGUUCACUGAGAUUCCUAGAUCGUUCUCAUUCUCUUCACUCUUUCUUGAAGGGAACAGGCACUGUGCAUUAGACCACCCACUAUGUACAGAACAGUGGGACUGGGAAGAGAGUGGGAGGCUCAGGGUGGCGGCUGAGAAGGCAUGGGAGAACUCCCCUCAGGAAUGCUUUGGUCAAAGGCAAACUUCCAUGUGGCCUGGCCUGAGAGAAAGAGGGAGGUUCCAGAGCCUCGGAAGUCUGAGCCAAUCUCCCAGUUUAGGAAUCGCCCUGCACCAGCUCCCUUCCAGCCUGUGCAAGCUUUAUAGGAAGCAACAAGUACCAGGCAAGACUCGGUGUGUAGUUAUUGAAGGCAGAGCCUGCUUGCUGGUAGGUAAUCUCCCCUCAAAAACACCCUUGUAGACAGCAUGAUGUGCAAGUGUGGGCAUGGGCGAGCACUCAGUCACACAUGCCUGGUCCCUUCCCCUGGAACCACUGGGAAGAGCAGCUGGGGAGGAAUUGGGGACACACAGUAUCUAGGGGGAGGAAGAAUAAAAUUGCUGGGCGGACGGCACAGAAACCAAGCCUGUGGUUGUACAAGGAGGGCUGCAAGAGAAAAAGCCUCGUAAGAAAAGAUGGGGUGGGUUAGAGGCAAUCUUUACCCAUGACCCAGGCACAGCCAGCAAAGCCCACCCUUCCUAAAUUGCCAGCUCAGCUUCCAACAUGCCUCAAGUCUCUGUUUCCACCGGCCCUAUCCCGACCCAAAGACCUAUGCAUGUUCUUUCCAGGCACAGCAUUCAGUUCCAGCCCGAGGUAUCUUUCCCAUCUGCAGCUCCAACUCUGUGUCUAACCGCAGGCCCAGAUCCCUCCCUUUCCUUUCCCUCUUCAGGAAGGAAUGUCCUCUGGCUUCAGGGGAGAUCCUGCCACCUAGUGACCGUAGAGUCACAGGUAUCGGGUCAGAAUAUCCCUCAGUUUUCCAGGCAAAUGCUCUGCUCCUACAGAUGCGGAGACUGAAGUUCGGGUAGAGCGAUGGCUAAACCACUAAACUGCGGAUGAUGGGGAUCUAUUCCUGUGCUUUCUCAACCCAGUCACCCCCUCUGACCUCUGCUGGACAGACCCGAGGACAGGGAAGUCCCCUCUAGAGAAGAGGGCUCAGACCUACUGCAGCACAAGACCAAGGGACAGAGAGACCCUCUGCACAAGAAGCUGCCUGCCAACCAGACCCACAACCUCAGCCAACUCCUACCUAUGCAGCCCAACCUAGGCUGCUACUUCCAAUGGGACGCAGGUUUCUCCAAACAGCAAAGCAUGUGGGCUCCAUCUGGACAGGCCUGAGUCACAGGAGAACACCCUGCCCACCCCAGCUACCCUCAGCAAGGUCAGUUUUCCAUCCUAGUGUGUCUCCUACACCCUGCGGCAGGUCGCUGGAGGCCAUACCUCAGGAAUGCCCCCCUACUGGUCUGCAUUAUUGCCAGUGAUAGAGACUGCACCUGGG